AAUUAUGGUGGGCUGAAUGGGGGUCCGAAAGGACGCCGGUACCACUUAGGCCGGUAAGACCAACUCCGUUCAGUUCACCACCAUC
rnacentral:antisense_RNA from 1 species